rnacentral:rRNA from 1 species
GUUCCAGACUCCUACGGGAGGCAGCAGUGGGGAAUAUUGCACAAUGGGGGGAACCCUGAUGCACCGACGCCGCGUGGGUGAAGGAGCACCUCGGUGCGUAAAGCCCUAUCGGCAGGGAAGAAAAGCGAACAGGUUCGCCUGGACGGUACCUGACUAAGAAGCCCCGGCUAACUACGUGCCAGCAGCCGCGGGAAUACGUAGGGGGCAAGCGUUAUCCGGAUUCACUGGGUGUAAAGGGAGCGUAGACGGCAGCGCAAGUCUGGAGUGAAAUGCCGGGGCCCAACCCCGGAACUGCUUUGGAAACUGUGCAGCUCGAGUGCAGGAGAGGUAAGCGGAAUUCCUAGUGUAGCGGUGAAAUGCGUAGAUAUUAGGAGGAACACCAGUGGCGAAGGCGGCUUACUGGACUGUAACUGACGUUGAGGCUCGAAAGCGUGGGGAGCAAACAGGAUUAGAUACCCUCGUAC